UGGUGGGGUAAGAGCCUACCAAGGCGACGACGGUUAGCCGGCGUGAGAGCGUGGCCGGCUACAAGGACACUGAGAUACGGGUCCUACUCCUACGGGAGGCAGCAGUGCGGAAUUUUAGAUAAUGGAGGCAACUCUGAUCUAGCGACGCCGCGUGCAGGAAGAAGGUCUUCGGAUUGUAAACUGCUGUGGUAAGGGAAAAAUGUCAUGUAGAGUGGAAAGCUACAUGGAGGGAUGGUACUUUACUAGAAAGCCCCGGCUAACUACGUGCCAGCAGCCGCGGUAAUACGUAGGGGGCGAGCGUUACCCGGAAUCACUGGGCGUAAAGGGAGCGUAGGUGGCCUGACAUGUCAACUGUGAAAACCCGGAGCUCAACUCCGGACUUGCAGUUGAAACUGCCAGGCUUGAGGACGGUAGAGGAAGACGGAACUGCCAGUGUAGGGGUAAAAUCCUUAGAUAUUGGCAGGAACGCCGGUGACGAAGGUGGUUUUCUGGGCCGGCUCUGACACUGAUGCUCGAAAGCCAGGGGAGCGAACGGGAUUAGAU
rnacentral:rRNA from 1 species